GUAGGGGCCUAGCGUUGUCCGGAAUUAUUGGGCGUAAAGAGCUCGUAGGCGGUUCGGCAAGUCGGAUGUGAAAUCUCCACGCUUAACGUGGAGGGGCCAUUCGAAACUGCCGUGACUCGAGUCCGGUAGGGGAGUGUGGAAUUCCCGGUGUAGCGGUGAAAUGCGCAGAUAUCGGGAGGAACACCAGUAGCGAAGGCGGCACUCUGGGCCGGUACUGACGCUGAGGAGCGAAAGCGUGGGGAGCGAACAGGAUUAGAUACCCUGGUAGUCCACGCCGUAAACGUUGGGCACUAGGUGUGGGACUCUAUCGACGGGUUCCGUGCCGUAGCUAACGCAUUAAGUGCCCCGCCUGGGGAGUACGGCCGCAAGGCUA
rnacentral:rRNA from 1 species